UAGUCAUAUGCUUGUCUCAAAGAUUAAGCCAUGCAUGUCUAAGUAUAAACACUUGUACUGUGAAACUGCGAAUGGCUCAUUAAAUCAGUUAAAGUUUAUUUGAUAGUCUCUUACUACAUGGAUAACCGUGGUAAUUCUAGAGCUAAUACAUGCAUAAAAGCCCAACUUUUGGAAGGGCUGUAUUUAUUAGAUAAAAAACCAAUGCAUUCGUGCUUUUUUGGUGAUUCAUAAUAACUUUCGAAUCAAAACCCUUGUGGUAUUGAUAUGUCAACAAAUUU
rnacentral:rRNA from 1 species